UCUAUUUUUUUUUAAUUUUUUUUUUUUUAAU
rnacentral:ribozyme from 1 species